UACGUUUACCGCAUAAGCCGGGGUUCGGUGGAGAGGCCGACAGUCGCGGAAUUACCAGCCAGGAAGUGUGUUGCGAUGCGGGGUUCGAAACGGCGGACUCCGGCUCCGCCAACUGGUGGCAGCUCCCCCUGCGUCAAGAAACCCCACUACAACGCUCCGUUGAAGCAUAAGAGGGAGGAGUAUGCCCCACACAGUAACCUGCCUAAGGAUGUCAGUGAAGAGACGAGCCAGUUCGUGCCGGAGCUUCCGCUGCACCAGCAGCGGCCACCUUGGCUGCAGGACCCGCCCGUG